CAUGUAGUAAUGGUGGGAGAACUAAAUGACCCUGAAAAUUCUGGAAAUGAGGAGAAACAGACUAAAGCCACAGGCAGCAGAUGAAUGAAGAGAGAGAAGAGUGCUUUAGUUGCUUAUGCCUCACUCUUCACGCAGAACGCCUCCAUCACCACCUGUUGCACUGUCCUGAUGCUUGUGCUCCCCUUCAAGAGGCAGAAGGAACAAAUCUGGGAUGGCUGGCUCACUUAGGUGGCCUGCUGUUCACUGGUGACCACCCUAGUGGCCUUGGCGAACCUGGCUGGCAUGGCGCUGACCAUCACCAUUCAGAGGGACUGGAUCGUGAGCUGACGGGUGACAACAGAGGCCGGCUGGUUGAUUGGUGUGGAGCUGUCCUGGAGAUGCAGAUGUCAACAGAGGAUGAUUCCGAGACAACUGGCCCCUUGCAGUGCAGAUAA
rnacentral:lncRNA from 1 species